rnacentral:rRNA from 1 species
AUUGAACGCUGGCGGCAUGCCUUACACAUGCAAGUCGAACGGUAACAGGUCUUUCGGGAUGCUGACGAGUGGCGAACGGGUGAGUAAUACAUCGGAACGUGCCUAGUAGUGGGGGAUAACUACUCGAAAGAGUGGCUAAUACCGCAUGAGAUCUAUGGAUGAAAGCAGGGGACCUUCGGGCCUUGUGCUACUAGAGCGGCCGAUGGCAGAUUAGGUAGUUGGUGGGAUAAAAGCUUACCAAGCCUGCGAUCUGUAGCUGGUCUGAGAGGACGAUCAGCCACACUGGGACUGAGAAACGGCCCAGACUCCUACGGGAGGCAGCAGUGGGGAAUUUUGGACAAUGGGGGAAACCCUGAUCCAGCAAUGCCGCGUGCAGGAUGAAGGCCUUCGGGUUGUAAACUGCUUUUGUACGGAACGAAAAGUCUUGGGUUAAUACCCUGGGAUCAUGACGGUACCGUAAGAAUAAGCACCGGCUAACUACGUGCCAGCCGCCGCCGUAA